UACGUAGGGACCGAGCGUUGUCCGGAUUCAUUGGGCGUAAAGAGCUCGUAGGCGGCUGCUCAAGUCGAAUGUGAAACCUCGAGGCUUAACCUCGAGCCUGCAUUCGAUACUGGGCGGCUAGAGUCUGGUAGGGGGAUCUGGAAUUCCUGGUGUAGCGGUGGAAUGCGCAGAUAUCAGGAGGAACACCGGUGGCGAAGGCGGCAUCCUGGACCGACACUGACACUGAGGAGCGAAAGCCAGGGGAGCAAACGGG
rnacentral:rRNA from 1 species